GGCCACUGCCGGCGAUUCCAACGACCAAGGCCGCCCUUCGGGGCGGCCUUUUUUUGUGUCCGGG
rnacentral:sRNA from 1 species